UCCUUGGAAAGAACUGCCCAAGUGUGCUG
rnacentral:piRNA from 1 species